rnacentral:rRNA from 1 species
CAGCCAUCUGUUGGAAGUAGGUGGUUAGCGUGUAGGUGUGCCCCUUAGGCAAUCCGGGGGGCUUAGCUGAGGCGUGACGACGAGCUCUCUUUGAGAGCGAAGUGAUUGAUACCCUGCUUCCAGGAAAAGCCACUAAGCUUCAGUCUAGAAUUGACCGUACCGCAAACCGACACAGGUGGGCAGGUAGAAGAUACUAAGGCGCUUGAGAGAACUCAGGAGAAGGAACUCGGCAAAUUGAUACCGUAACUUCGGGAGAAGGUAUGCCUCGGUAGCUUGUAGGAGUACAUCCGAAGGGCGAAGAGGCCGCAGAGAAUCGGUGGCUGCGACUGUUUAUUAAAAACACAGCACUCUGCAAACACGAAAGUGGACGUAUAGGGUGUGACGCCUGCCCGGUGCCGGAAGGUUAAGUGAUGGGGUGCAAGCUCUUGAUCGAAGCCCCGGUAAACGGCGGCCGUAACAAUAACGGUCCUAAGGUAG